CGUGAGUGAAGAAGGCCUUCGGGUUGUAAAGCUCUUUUGUCCGGGAAGAAAAGCNUCGGGCUAAUACCUCGGUGUNCUGACGGUACCGGAAGAAUAAGCACCGGCUAACUUCGUGCCAGCAGCCGCGGUAAUACGAAGGGUGCAAGCGUUACUCGGAAUUACUGGGCGUAAAGCGUGCGUAGGUGGUUUGUUAAGUCUGAUGUGAAAGCCCCGGGCUCAACCUGGGAAUGGCAUUGGAAACUGGCGGACUUGAGUGCGGUAGAGGGGUGUGGAAUUCCCGGUGUAGCAGUGAAAUGCGUAGAGAUCGGGAGGAACACCAGUGGCGAAGGCGACACCCUGGACCAGCACUGACACUGAGGCACGAAAGCGUGGGGAGCAAACAGGAUUAGAUACCCUGGUAGUCCACGCCCUAAACGAUGCGAACUGGAGGUUGGGUGCACUUUGGCNCUCAGUCUCGAAGCUAACGCGUUAAGUUCGCCGCCUGGGGAGUACGGUCGCAAGACUGAAACUCAAAGGAAUUGA
rnacentral:rRNA from 1 species